UACGUAGGUGGCAAGCGUUGUCCGGAUUUACUGGGCGUAAAGAGUGCGCAGGCGGUCGUUCAAGUCGCGUGUGAAAGCCCCCGGCUCAACUGGGGAGGGUCACGCGAUACUGAUCGACUCGAAGGCAGGAGAGGGAAGUGGAAUUCCCGGUGUAGUGGUGAAAUGCGUAGAUAUCGGGAGGAACACCAGUGGCGAAGGCGACUUCCUGGCCUGUUCUUGACGCUGAGGCGCGAAAGCUAGGGGAGCAAACGGG
rnacentral:rRNA from 1 species